AAGCUUACAAUGUUACUUCAAAUCAUUCAGCCUAAGCAGUCUAUUAAAGGUUUGCUUUUAGGUGUAAGUGAAAAAAUAUAACUAAAACUGUUUGCAAAGAAGUGGAGGAUUUAUUGCUUUGGUAACUGGAAACUCCAUAGCCGAAUUUCUAGUUUCAGGCACAGUCGAACCAGGUCUAAGGGAGCUGAAAAAAAAGGCAGAACUUAAUGGUUCCACUGGUUUCGGCAAAAACAGUUGUCUGAUCAUUGUGGAGCAAAAUCUAACUUUUCCUAAAAAGCUUGGAAUGCAAUAUAUCCUGGGCUAUAGCUCUCUACCUUCUGGUAUCCUGGAACCUGCACUCAAAGAUCAUCUCCUCCAUCAACACUUCGUUCAUCAGGGGUGAUGGGUCCCCAGCCAGGAAGAAUCCAAUUUCAAUAUCUCAAAUGGUACACACAUCCUCCAGUCCAUAUCCUGAGCCCUGUAGCUCUAGACCCUGGAGUACAGUUGUCUAUACAACACAGCUACUUCUGUGUCUAGACACUGGUGACACCAUCCCUCCCCGCGAUCUACUAUAUCCGGUUCUCAAAGCUGCAAUUGCACCUCCUGAAUGAAGAAGUUUAUGAGAUUAAUUUAAGGAUGUCAGUUUCACAUGUAUAUUAUCAUAUGUGAAACAGAUCGCCAGUCCGGAUUCGAUGCAUGAGACAAGGUACU